GACGAACCGUGCGACCGUUAUUCGGAAUCACUGGGCUUAAAGCGCGUGUAGGCGGGGUGGCACGUCUGUCGCUGAAAUCCCCCGGCUCAACCGGGGAACGGGCGCGGAUACGACCAUCCUCGAGGGACGUAGGGGGACCUGGAACUUCCGGUGGAGCGGUGAAAUGCGUUGAGAUCCGGAGGAACACCAAAGGCGAAGGCAGUGUCCUGGGGAGUACCUGACGCUCAGGUGCGAAAGCCAGGGGAGCGAACGGG
rnacentral:rRNA from 1 species